rnacentral:rRNA from 1 species
CCUGCCGGACCCCACUGCUAUCGGUAUGGGACUAAGACAUGCUAGUCGUGCGCUUUCUAGCCAUGCUGGAAGCGCGGCACACAGCUCAGUAGCACGUGGCUAACCUGCCCUUGGGACGGGAACAACCCCGGGAAACUGGGGCUAAUUCCCGAUAGGUGAAGAUCCCUGGAAUGGGUUUUCGCCCAAAAGACGUUUGGGUCAUGCUUUCAGACGUUGCCCAAGGAUGGGGCCGCGGCCGAUCAGGUUGUUGGUGAGGUAACGGCUCACCAAGCCUUUGACCGGUUCGGGCCGUGAGAGCGGUAGCCCGGAGAUGGGCACUGAGACAAGGGCCCAGGCCCUACGGGGCGCAGCAGUCGCGAUAACUUCGCUAUAAGCGAAAGCUUGACGGGGUCAUCCAGAGUGCCAUCUGCUGAGGAUGGCUUUUACCCAGUAUAGAUAGCUGGAGGAAUAAGGAGAGGGCAAGUCUGGUGUCAGCCGCCGCGGUAAUACCAGCUCUCCGAGUUGUGGGGACGUUUAUUGAGCCUGAAGCAUCCGUAGCCGGCUGUGUAAGUCCUCUGUUAAUCCAGCGACUAAUCGUUGGCCUGCGGGGGAUACUGCUCGGCUAGGGGGCGGGAGAGGCCGUCGGUAUUCUUGGGGUAGGGGUGAAAUCCUAUAAUCCCAGGAGGACCACCAGUGGCGAAGGCUGUCGGCUAGAACGCGCCCGACGGUGAGGGAUGAAAGCUGGGGGAGCGAACCGGAUUAGAUACCCGGGUAGUCCCAGCUGUAAACGAUGCAGGCUAGGUGUUAGGGCGGCUACGUGCCGCUCUAGUGCCGCAGGGAAGCUGUUAAGCCUGCCGCUUGGGGAGUACGGCCGCAAGACUGAAACUUAAAGGAAUUGGCGGGAAGGGCGAAUUCG